rnacentral:rRNA from 1 species
UGGGGAAUAUUGGACAAUGGGCGAAAGCCUGAUCCAGCCAUGCCGCGUGUGUGAAGAAGGCCUUCGGGUUGUAAAGCACUUUCAGUGGGGAGAAAGGUUAUUCACCUAAUACGUGAGUAAAUUGAUGCUACCCACAGAAGAAGCACCGGCUAACUCCGUGCCAGCAGCCGCGGUAAUACGGAGGGUGCAAGCGUUAAUCGGAAUUACUGGGCGUAAAGCGCACGUAGGUGGUUUGUUAAGUCAGCUGUGAAAUCCCCGGGCUCAACCUGGGCACUGCAGUUGAAACUGGCAAGCUAGAGUAGGGUAGAGGGGUGUGGAAUUCCAGGUGUAGCGGUGAAAUGCGUAGAUAUCUGGAGGAACAUCAGUGGCGAAGGCGACACCCUGGACUCAUACUGACACUGAGGUGCGAAAGCGUGGGGAGCAAACA